CAUGCAUGUCUAAGUAUAAACAAAUCUAUACUGUGAAACUGCGAAUGGCUCAUUAUAUCAGUUAUAGUUUAUUUGAUGGUUCUUGCUACUUGGAUAACCGUAGUAAUUCUAGAGCUAAUACAUGCACCAAACCUCGACUUUUUUGGAAGAGGUGUAUUUAUUAGAUGGAAACCAAUGCGGGGCAACCCGGAUUCAGGUGAUUCAUAAUAACUUUCGGAUCGAUCUUCGGAUCGAUGCAUCAUUCAAGUUUCUGCCCUAUCAGCUUUGGAUGGUAGGGUAUUGGCCUACCAUGGCUUUAACGGGUAACGGAGAAUUAGGGUUCGAUUCCGGAGAGGGAGCCUGAGAAACGGCAACCACAUCCAAGGAAGGCAGCAGGCGCGUAAAUUACCCAAUCCUGACACAGGGAGGUAGUGACAAUAAAUAACAAUGCCGGGCCUUUUUAAGUCUGGCAAUUGGAAUGAGAACAAUUUAAAUCCCUUAUCGAGGAUCAAUUGGAGGGCAAGUCUGGUGCCAGCAGCCGCGGUAAUUCCAGCUCCAAUAGCGUAUACUAAAGUUGUUGCAGUUAAAAAGCUCGUAGUUGAAUUUCUGGUCGUGGCGAUCGGUCCGCCCCUCACGGGGUGUGCACCAGGUCUCUACGUCCAUCCUCGGGGAGAGCACGUCUGGCAUUUAGUUGUCGGGCGUGGGAUCCUCGUCAUUUACUGUGAGCAAAAUAGAGUGUUCAAAGCAGGCUUAGGCCGUUGAAUACAUUAGCAUGGAAUAAUAAGAUAGGACCUUGGUCUAUUUUGUUGGUUUGCAUUCCA
rnacentral:rRNA from 1 species